CCUACGGGGGGCAGCAGUGGGGAAUAUUGGGCAAUGGAGGCAACUCUGACCCAGCAACGCCGCGUGAACGAUGAAGGUCUUCGGAUUGUAAAGUUCUGUGAUGGGGGAUGAACACAAUGACGGUACCCCAAUAGCAAGCCACGGCUAACUACGUGCCAGCAGCCGCGGUAAUACGUAGGUGGCAAGCGUUAUCCGGAAUGACUGGGCGUAAAGGGUGCGUAGGUGGUUUAGUAAGUUGGCGGUGUAAUUCCGGGGCUCAACCUCGGCGCUACCGCCAAAACUAUUAGACUAGAGUGCAGGAGGGGUAAGUGGAAUUCCUUGUGUAGCGGUGAAAUGCGUAGAUAUAAGGAAGAACACCAGUGGCGAAGGCGGAUUACUGGACGAUAACUGACGGUGAGGCGCGAAAGCGUGGGGAGCAAACAGGAUUAGAUACCCCAGUAGUC
rnacentral:rRNA from 1 species